rnacentral:misc_RNA from 1 species
GUAACAAGGUUUCCGUAGGUGAACCUGCGGAAGGAUCAUUACCGAGUGAGGGCCCUCUGGGUCCAACCUCCCACCCGUGUUGCACGAACCUGUGUUGCUUCGGCGGGCCCGCCGCCUAGGCCGCCGGGGGGCAUCCGCCCCCGGGCCCGCGCCCGCCGAAGCCCCCCUUCUGAACGCUGUCUGAAGUUGCAGUCUGAGAAACUAGCUAAAUUAGUUAAAACUUUCAACAACGGAUCUCUUGGUUCCGGCAUCGAUGAAGAACGCAGCGAAAUGCGAUAACUAAUGUGAAUUGCAGAAUUCAGUGAAUCAUCGAGUCUUUGAACGCACAUUGCGCCCUCUGGUAUUCCGGAGGGCAUGCCUGUCCGAGCGUCAUUGCUGCCCUCAAGCACGGCUUGUGUGUUGGGCCCCGUCCCCCCCGCGCCGGGGGGACGGGCCCGAAAGGCAGCGGCGGCACCGCGUCCGGUCCUCGAGCGUAUGGGGCUUCGUCACCCGCUCUUGUAGGCCCGGCCGGCGCCAGCCGACCCCCAACCUUUAUAUUUUCUCAGGUUGACCUCGGAUCAGGUAGGGAUACCCGCUGAACCUAAGCAUAUC